rnacentral:piRNA from 1 species
UGGGAACACUUGGGACUCUGGAAAGGUGG